AUACUUUUUUUGGUUCAUAACUGUGAUGACUGGGUGUUCAUGUACAUGUGUAACAUGUGCCACCCUCAAACCUUGUUAUGCACCGGGACAUUACCCAUCUGACG